rnacentral:lncRNA from 1 species
CGCGACGGUGAACAGGCGGAUGUGCGGCACGGCUACCAUCGCGCCCAAUGGGUGCGACGGUCAACAGGCGGACGUGUGAGGCGGCUACCAUCGCGCCCAAUGGGCGCGACGGUGAACAGGCAGAUGUGCGGCACGGCUACCAUCGCGCCCAAUGGGCGCGACGGUGAACAGGCGGAUGUGCAGCACGGCUACCAUCGCGCCCAAUGGGCGCAACGUUCAACAGGCGGAUGUGCAGUGUGGCUACCAUCGCGCCCAAUGGGCGCGACGGUGAACAGGCGGAUGUGUGAGGCGGCUACCAUCGCGCCCAAUGGGCGCGACGGUGAACAGGCGGAUGUGUGAGGCGGCUACCAUCGCGCCCAAUGGGCGCGACGGUGAACAGGCGGAUGUGUGAGGCGGCUACCAUCACGCCCAAUGGGCGCGACGGUCAACAUGCGGAUGUGCAGCGCGGCUACCAUCGCGCCCAAUGGGCGUGACGGUGAACAGGCGGACGUGUGAGGCGGCUACCAUCGCGCCCAAUGGGCGCGACGGUGAACAGGCAGAUGUGCGGCACGGCUACCAUCGCACCCAAUGGGCGCGACGGUGAACAGGCGGAUGUGCAGCGCGGCUACCAUCGCGCCCAAUGGGCAUGAUGGUCAACAGGCGGAUGUGCAGCGCGGCUACCAUCGCGCCCAAUGGGCGCGACGGUGAACAGGCGGACGUGUGAGGCGGCUACCAUCACGCCCAAUGGGUGCGACGGUCAACAGGCGGACGUGUGAGGCGGCUACCAUCGCGCCCAAUGGGCGCAACGGUGAACAGGCAGAUGUGCGGCGCGGCUACCAUCGCGCCCAAUGGGCGCGAUGGUCAACAGGCGGAUGUGCGGUGCGGCUACCAUCGCGCCCAAUGGGCNNN